UAAGUCUGAGGUUAUUUGCGAGAUGUCUGCCAGCUAGUUUAUGUUGUGUUUGCAAGCAAAGUUUAACACAACUGCCCACAAAGUACUGCUUGCUGGCGAAGUGCUAAUUUCAAAACAUACAGAUAUAUAGACACUUUACAAACGGAUAACCCCGUCAUUGUAACCGAAAUAUGUCUGAGUUUAUUUGCAAAGCUUAUGUCAGUGAAUUAGCAUGUUGCUACUCCCCACAGUAGGCUGAUUGAAACACUCACUCUUAUCACACAGGACC